AUACGUAGGGGGCGAGCGUUGUCCGGAAUGACUGGGCGUAAAGGGCGCGUAGGCGGCCGAUUAAGUCUGGAGUGAAAGUCCUGCUUUCGAGGUGGGAAUUGCUUUGGAGACUGGUUGGCUUGAGUGCGGAAGAGGUAAGUGGAAUUCCCAGUGUAGCGGUGAAAUGCGUAGAGAUUGGGAGGAACACCAGUGGCGAAGGCGACUUACUGGGCCGUAACUGACGCUGAGGCGCGAAAGCGUGGGGAGCGAACAGGAUUAGAUACCCUGGUAGUCCACGCGGUAAACGAUGAAUGCUAGGUGUUGCGGGUAUCGACCCCUGCAGUGCCGGAGUAAACACAAUAAGCAUUCCGCCUGGGGAGUACGGCCGCAAGGUUGAAACUCAAAUGAAUUGACGGGG
rnacentral:rRNA from 1 species